rnacentral:rRNA from 1 species
CAGCCGCCGCGGUAAUUCCGGCGGCCCGAGUGGCGGUCACUAUUAUUGGGCUUAAAGCGUCCGUAGCCGGGUUGGGAAGUCCUCCGGGAAAUCUGGCCGCUUAACGGUCAGAAUGCCGGAGGAUACUCCCAGCCUAGGGAGCGGGAGAGGCCGAGGGUAUUCCCGGAGUAGGGGUGAAAUCCUAUAAUCCCGGGAGGACCACCGGUGGCGAAGGCGCUCGGCUGGAACGCGUCCGACGGUGAGGGACGAAGGCCAGGGGAGCAAACCGGAUUAGAUACCCGGGUAGUCCUGGCUGUAAACGAUGCGGACUUUGUGUCGGACAAGCUAUGAGCUUGUCCGGUGCCGGAGGGAAACCGUUAAGUCCGCCGCCUGGGGAGUACGGCCGCAAGGCUGAAACUUAAAGGAAUUGGCGGG